GAUGAACGCUGGCGGCGCGCCUAACACAUGCAAGUCGAACGAUUAAAGCACCUUCGGGUGUGUAUAAAGUGGCGAACGGCUGAGUAACACGUGGGCAACCUGCCCCUUUCAUUGGGAUAGCCACGGGAAACCGUGGAUAAUACCGAAUACUUCGAGACUUCCGCAUGGAAGACUCGAGAAAGCUUCGGCGGAGAGGGAUGGGCCCGCGGCCUGUUAGCUUGUUGGUGGGGUAACGGCCUACCAAGGCAAUGAUGGGUAGCUGGGUUGAGAGACCGACCAGCCAGAUUGGGACUGAGACACGGCCCAGACUCCUACGGGAGGCAGCAGUGGGGAAUCUUGCACAAUGGGCGAAAGCCUGAUGCAGCGACGCCGCGUGCGGGAUGAAGGCCUUCGGGUUGUAAACCGCUUUCAGCAGGGACGAGGCGAAAGUGACGGUACCUGCAGAAGAAGCCCCGGCUAACUACGUG
rnacentral:rRNA from 1 species